UGCGACGUGAGGGGCGAUUGGUUUGC
rnacentral:piRNA from 1 species